rnacentral:lncRNA from 1 species
UGUAUGCGCACUUGUUCUUCUUCCAUUUUCUAUUAUUCAUCUUCCGCCCUCUAAUGGUAUCAGAGCCAAGUUGUUUGUUCGUUGGUAACUGUAUAGUAAGAUCUUUUUAAUCAAACUUCUCUUUGCUCUUUCAAAAUUUAUCAUCUUCAUCAAAGUUCUGAAGUCACCUUACUUACCUGUAGUCCACCUAGUUCGUGUCUAACCUUUGUAAGUCUCCAAGGUGUGAGCAGUGUCGGGUUAUAGAACAUAGGUAUGAGUCUACUUUGGGUAAACGGGGUAUGCAUGAAUGAACCUUGAGUAAGAUUUUAAUUUUUGAA